rnacentral:rRNA from 1 species
GACGAACGCUGGCGGCGUGCUUAACACAUGCAAGUCGAACGGAAAGGCCCUUCUUUUGUGGUGUGCUCGAGUGGCGAACGGGUUAGUAACACGUGAGUAACCUGCCCUUUACUUUGGGAUAACUUCAGGAAACUGGGGCUAAUACCGGCUAGGAGCUCCUGCUGCAUGGUGGGGGUUGGAAAGUUUCGGCGGUUGGGGAUGGACUCGCGGCUUAUCAGCUUGUUGGUGGGGUAGUGGCUUACCAAGGCUUUGACGGGUAGCCGGCCUGAGAGGGUGACCGGCCACAUUGGGACUGAGAUACGGCCCAGACUCCUACGGGAGGCAGCAGUGGGGAAUAUUGCACAAUGGGCGGAAGCCUGAUGCAGCAACGCCGCGUGCGGGAUGACGGCCUUCGGGUUGUAAACCGCUUUCGCCUGUGACGAAGCGUGAGUGACGGUAAUGGGUAAAGAAGCACCGGCUAACUACGUG